UUAACUCAUAUUUGUAUGGAGUGGGAUCGUUUGCCUACGUUUGCCGCUAGGGGCGCUGUUCCAACUGCAUACAAAAUUGGGAUA
rfam:Bombyx mori DNA, contig: Bm_scaf86_contig33704, strain: p50T/Dazao, build 2, whole genome shotgun sequence.